UACAGAGGUCUCAAGCGUUGUUCGGAUUCAUUGGGCGUAAAGGGUGCGUAGGCGGCGUCGUAAGUCAGAUGUGAAAUCUCCGGGCUUAACUCCGAAACUGCAUUUGAUACUGCGGUGCUUGAGGACUGGAGAGGAGACUGGAAUUUACGGUGUAGCGGUGAAAUGCGUAGAGAUCGUAAGGAAGACCAGUGGCGAAGGCAGGUCUCUGGACAGUUCCUGACGCUGAGGCACGAAAGCGAGGGGAGCAAACGGG
rnacentral:rRNA from 1 species